ensembl:misc_RNA Metazoa_SRP Metazoan signal recognition particle RNA
GCUGGGCAUGGUGGUGCAUGCCUGUAAUCCCAGCCACUUGGGAGGCUGAGGCAGGAGAAUCGCUUGAACCCAGGAGGUGGAGGUUGCAGUGAGCUGAGAUUGCGCCACUGCACUCCAGCCUGGGUGACAGAGUGAGACUCUGCCUCAA